AGCGACCGGCCGGACACCUAUGUGACCGGCCCACAAGUGGAGGCUCCGAUCUCCCACCCGGCCGACCUCAGGUUGGCGGGUCAAUGGUCCGGCUGCGCCCCGCGGAGACUUCGCGGCGGUGCUCCUGGUUCAGUUCCGGAGCCCCGCCUGUGUCCCGUCCGGGGCGUUUUGC
rnacentral:ncRNA from 1 species